UACGUAGGGUGCAAGCGUUGUCCGGAAUUAUUGGGCGUAAAGAGCUCGUAGGCGGUCUGUCGCGUCUGCUGUGAAAACCUGGGGCUUAACCCCGGGCCUGCAGUGGGUACGGGCAGACUAGAGUGUGGUAGGGGAGACUGGAAUUCCUGGUGUAGCGGUGAAAUGCGCAGAUAUCAGGAGGAACACCGGUGGCGAAGGCGGGUCUCUGGGCCAUAACUGACGCUCAGGAGCGAAAGCGUGGGGAGCGAACAGG
rnacentral:rRNA from 1 species